CACGGAAGCCCCAAGCGUUAUUCGGAUUUACUGGGCGUAAAGGGCGCGCAGGCGGCUUGGUAAGUCUGGUGUGAAAACGCUACCGCUUAACGGAGCGAUUGCGCUGGAAACUGCCAAACUUGAGUUCGUGAGAGGUCGGUGGAAUACCUGGUGUAGCGGUGGAAUGCUUAGAUAUCAGGUGGAAUACCCGAGGCGAAGGCGACCGACUGGCACGACACUGACGCUGAGGCGCGAAAGCGUGGGGAGCAAACAGG
rnacentral:misc_RNA from 1 species